GGUAACGGAGAAUCAGGGUUCGAUUCCGGAGAAGGAGCUCGAGAAUUGGCUACUACAUCUAAGGAAGGCAGCAGGCGCGCAAAUUACCCAACCCCGAUUCGGGGAGGUAGUGACAAAAAAUAACAAUACCGGGCCUUUUUGGGCUUGGUAAUUGGAAUGAGGGAGAGUUAAACGGACCAUCGAGUAUCCAUUGGAGGGCAAGUCUGGUGCCAGCAGCUGCGGUAAUACCAGCUCCAAUAGCGUAUAUUAAAGUUGUUGCAGUUAAAAAGCUCGUAGUUGGACUUGUGUGCGCUGUCCGCGGGUGGCCUGCGCCCAAAAGGGCGUUUCGGUUCGGCCCCGGUGGCGCCUUGAAAUCUGCAGCUGGGGGGACGUUGGCCUUAACUGGUCGGCGACCGCACGCCGGCUGCUCGGUUACUGUGAGAAAAUUAGAGUGUUCAAGGCAGGCAUUGGGUGCAAUUGAAUACAUUAGCAUGGAAUAAUAAAAUAUGGCUCCUGCCGUAUUUUGUUGGUUUUGACUGGUGGGAGUAAUGAUUGAUAGGGACGGUUGGGGGUGCUAGUAUUGAGCGGCCAGAGGUGAAAUUCAUGGAUUCGCUCAAGACUAACUUAUGCGAAAGCAUUCACCAAGGACGUCCUCUUUAAUCAAGAACGAAAGUUGGGGGAUCGAAGACGAUCAGAUACCGUCGUAGUCUCAACCAUAAACUAUGUCGACUUGGGAUCGGCGGUAGUUUUUUCAUUAAGACACUGUCGGGACCACGGGAGAAAUCAAAGUGUCUGGACUCUGGGGGAAGUAUGGUCGCAAGGCUGAAACUUGAAGGAAUUGACGGAAGGGCACCACCAGGAGUGGAGCCUGCGGCUUAAUUUGACCCAACACGGGGAAACUUACCAGGUCCAGAGAUGUAGAGGAUUGACAGAUUGAAGCUCUUUCUUGAUCACUUCGGUGGUGGUGCAUGGCCGUUCUUAGUUGGUGGAGUGAUUUGUCUGGUUAAUUCCGUUAACGAACGAGACCUCAGCCUGCUAGUGUAGUCGGCUGGAUUGCCUUUGGCGAUCCGUGAUUUCGACUUCUUAGAGGGACAAUCGACGCGCAGUCGAUGGAAGUUUGAGGCAAUAACAGGUCUGUGAUGCCCUUAGAUGUUCUGGGCCGCACGCGCGCUACACUGCUGGGCUCAGCGAGUUUUACUUGGCCGAGAGGCCCGGUUAAUCUUGUGAAAUCCCAGCGUGCUUGGGCUCGCCUCCUGCAACUGGAGGCGCCAACGAGGAAUUCCUAGUAGACGCAGGUCAUCAACCUGCAUCGAUUACGUCCCUGCCCUUUGUACACACCGCCCGUCGUUCCAUAAGAGUGAGGCAUCCGGUGAAUUCUCGGGAGAGCCUGGGCGUGGCCAGCAAUGGUCUGCUCGGGUUUGAACUUGCAUAAACUUGGUGCCUAUGAUUAGGGAAAAGUCGUAACAAGGUU
rnacentral:rRNA from 1 species